rnacentral:rRNA from 1 species
UGGGGAAUAUUGCACAAUGGGCGCAAGCCUGAUGCAGCCAUGCCGCGUGUGUGAAGAAGGCCUUCGGGUUGUAAAGCACUUUCAGCGGGGAGGAAGGCGAUAAGGUUAAUAACCUCAUCGAUUGACGUUACCCGCAGAAGAAGCACCGGCUAACUCCGUGCCAGCAGCCGCGGUAAUACGGAGGGUGCAAGCGUUAAUCGGAAUUACUGGGCGUAAAGCGCACGCAGUCGGUCUGUCAAGUCGGAUGUGAAAUCCCCGGGCUCAACCUGGGAACUGCAUUCGAAACUGGCAGGCUAGAAUCUUGUAGAGGGGGGUAGAAGUCCAGGUGUAGCGGUGAAAUGCGUAGAGGUCUGAAGGAAUACCGGUGGCGCAGGCGGCCCCCUGGACAAAGACUGACGCUCAGGUGCGAAAGCGUGGGGAGCAAACAGG